UGAAGAAAUGAGAGGAAAAUAGGAUAUUUGAGGUGGAGAACUUGGAGAUCGCCGGAGAGAGUUCGCCGGAGUCCUUGGUGUUGUUCAGUCUUGGGAGGGAGUUCCAGGUCUAGCAAGGAACCCAAGGACACCAGGAGGAGUUGGAAGCUCCUCUAACUCAACAUCCAAUGUUGGCUGAUACAGCAAGAGGAUGGCCUUGAGAAAGAGAGAGGCAUGCUGCAUGCAUGGUUGCUUGGGAGGAGGGGCUUUGAACAGAGUUCAGCUUGUCUGUUUCUUAACUCAUUCUUGUGCUUGUGGUGGCCCAUACACACCACCCCAUGUCACAAUCUUACCAAGUCACUCUCUUCCUCUUGUACUCAAAUUUUUAUCCAUAUCCUCCC